CCUACGGGAGGCAGCAGUGGGGGAUAUUGCACAAUGGGGGGAACCCUGAUGCAGCGACGCCGCGUGGGGGAAGAAGGGCCUCGGCGCGUAAAGCCCUGUCAGCAGGGAAGAAAAUGACGGUACCUGAAGAAGAAGCCCCGGCUAACUACGGGCCAGCAGCCGCGGUAAUACGUAGGGGGCAAGCGUUAUCCGGAUUUACUGGGUGUAAAGGGGGCGCAGGCGGCGAUGCAAGCCAGGAGUGAAAGCCCGGGGGCCAACCCCGGGACUGCUCUUGGAACUGCGUGGCUGGAGUGCAGGAGGGGCAGGCGGAAUGCCUGGUGUAGCGGUGAAAUGCGUAGAUAUCAGGAAGAACUCCGGUGGCGAAGGCGGCCUGCUGGACUGCAACUGACGUUGAGGCCCGAAAGCGUGGGGAGCAAACAGGAUUAGAUACCCUGGUAGUC
rnacentral:rRNA from 1 species